rnacentral:misc_RNA from 1 species
GAAGUUAAUGCAUUUUUAAGUGCUUGGAAUGCCUUCUGACAACUAUCAGUCCAGUCCCCAGAUUUAAAUCUUCCCUUCUUAUUUCCCUUAAGUAAAUUGUUCAAAGGUGAAGCAAUAUAAGCAUAGCCUUUUACAAACUUCCGGUAAUAAUUACAAAGUCCUAGAAAACUUCUUAACUCAGUUUGUGAUCUAGGGACAGGGAAAUUCCUAACCUUCUCAGUUUUCUCUGGGUCAACAGAGACGCCAUCCUUUGACAAAAUAUGGCCUAGAAACAUUACUUUUUCCAAACCAAACUUACACUUGUCAUGUUUUAAGGUUAAAUUGGCUUCUCUCAAUUUACAAAACACCUCACUAAGGUGCUGCAAGUGCUCAUCAAAAUUCCUACUAAAGACUAAAAUGUCAUCAAUAUAGCAGAGUACAAAUUUCCAAUGCAACCCUCUUAAAACCUGUGACAUUAACAUCUGAAAAGACAUGGGAGCAUUCUUUAAUCCGAAAGGUAAACGGUUAAAUUCAAACACGCCUUCAUGGGUUAUAAAUGCAGAUUUGUGUUUGGUAGCAGGAUCAAGCUCCAUUUGAAAAUAAGCUGAAUUUAAAUCUAAGGUAGAAAAUACAGUGGCAGAAGAUGCACCUAUACCAUCAAAAACAUCUUCCAACCUUGGCAACGGAUGAGAUAUAGAUUUUGUGAUCUUAUUCAAUUUCCGAUAAUCAAUAGCAAAUCUGUAAGUAGAAUUUUUCUUACGAACCAACACUACCGGGCUAUUCCAUAUAGAAGUUGAAGGACUGACAAUGCCCUGCUUAAGCAUAUCGUGGGUUUGACGUUCAAUUUCAGCCUUUUGUAUAGGACCCUGUCUGUAAUGGUUCAUAUGUACAGGUUUAGCUCCAGGUUCAGUGUCUAUCCUAUGUUUAAAUACAUUUGUUUUACCAAUGGUUGAUAAUGAACUAGAGAAAACAUCAGAGUUUUGAGAUAGGAAAUGUUCAAGCUUUGAACACUGUUCAGGAGUCAAGUUUGAGUUAGAUAUGUUAAACUUAAAUUCAUCAUCUGAACUUUCAGCACAAUUGUCUGACAACACAUUUACUUGAGCACAUUUUUGAGAAGCACAAUUUUCAUCGAGAGUAAAUAUUGCAUCAGUUUGAACUCGACUAACUGACGCUAGGGUAAAAUUUAUGGGCAAAUGAAUAUCUACAUCAGUUGGAUUCAUUAUGCGAACAACAGCGCUAAGGUUUUUAUUUGAUUUGUUGGAUUUCCUAGCUUUUACUAAACAUCUAGCCAACAUAAAACCUCUAUCUGUUGGUAUUGGUUCUAACAAAACAACUUCAUCUCUGAAAGUUCUAGAUAAUGACACAGGGAUAUUAGUUUCCUCAUGUGCAUGAAUACAGACAGGAGAUGUAGUUUUAGCACAACCUGAACUAACCGUGAGUUUUGUUUUUAAAAGACCUUCUUUGACAUAAAAUGUUCCACGACCCAAAUCAACAAAGCAUUGGUUGUCAUACAUAAAGUCAAUGCCAAUGAUCAGGGAAUGGUGUAAAGACUCUAGCACAUGAAAUUUGUAACUGAAAUGACAUCCUGCAAUUACUAUUGGAACAUCAAUCUGUCCUAGCACAUCAACACUCUUGCCACCUACACCAGAAACUUGUUUUAAGUUACAGCACUUUAAAGAAUUUAAAUCUAAACCAGACUUUUUAAUGAAAGAUUUUGAAAUACAGGAUAUGGAUGCACCUGUAUCAAUUAAACCCUGAGUUUUCACAUUGUUUAUCCUAACUUGAAUAGUGUUUUUGUUUAAUGGGGCAAUUAGUGAAACAGAGUUUGAAUCUAUUAAGUUUUCAGUGUAAUUGACUUGUUUAGACUGAGUUUUCCCAUUGUGCCCAUUCACAGACUUUUGCCUAUGAACAGGCGCGAGUCCCUAUCUGUAAUUAUUCCUAUUUGGAUUAUUGCAAGCUGGAGCAACGUGACAUGGAAAAUUACACAUCUGACAUAWAACUGGUUGKGAUUCCCUACUAGAUCUAUUAAAAUCAUUCCUACCUGAUUNCUNGGGKGGNGUCUCCUGGACUGAUUCUGGUGCUGUUGCUGCGGUUGCUGCUGUUGCUGCUGAGGUUUUGCAUUCUUUAUCUGGGUAAGAGUGUCAUGUAGUUGUCUCAUCAUGUCAGUUAAUUGAUUAAGAGUCUGAUCAUUAUUUCCAGUAUUAACACUAGACACUUCAACAGAGUCACUUACUGUCUGUUCUGCACGGAUAGCAGCUUGACGAGCUUCAUCUAAUGACGCGAGUGAUUGAGGCUUCACCAAAUUCCUUAAAGAGGGGUAUAAACCAUCCACAAAGUUUGAGACAAGCCAGAUCUGCGGCAUGUCUUUGUCAUUUGUUUGUGUCAUAAAUCUUGUUGUAUACUCCCACACACUUUCCGCUGGUUUCUGCUUAAGUGAGCUGACGGAAAAUCCAGCAUCACUUCCAUCGAAUCUCUUCUCGAAGGCUGCAACUAACYCUGCAUGGUCAUCUUUCACUUCUGUUGUUAACGAAUCAUACCAGGCUAAUGCCUGAUCUACUAGAUGAAAUGGAAAUGUAUUAUAAACUUUUGUAUCAUUCCAUCCGUAUACGUUUUUACACAGUUGUUUAUAAUUUUCUAACCACUUUGCCCCUUUACAUCCCGGGGCACCGGCAAACACUUUGACUUUAACUUCUGGCCCCUUUGCUGCCAUUUCUUCAGUUUCUGCAGCUGAUGGUUCUUCUAUGUCAACAACAACUGAUGGAUUUUCAUCUACCACAGGGUUUAUUUCGACUGUUGAUGCAGGUGUCACAGAACUUUCAGGACUUGUUGGGUGUAGUGUAACACUGACAGGUGUCUUGUCUGAUGAUCUGCCUUGCRGCCUCAGGAAUGUGUUUCGGCUAGUUGAGUUACCCGGAUUCUCCACCAAAACUGUUAUGAGGAGCCUUUGACGGCCGCUCAAGUGUCUGUUAACUGACUACCGCGGCAAACUCUACAACGUGCGCCCGCUAUUCAGAGAUAGCUACUUUGUGCAGGUGUCCUUUAUAUCGGACGCUAAGGCGAUCUUAUCUGUAAAACAGAUGACAAGACUUUGUAUUAAGUAUGAUGUUUAUUUGUUGAUGUNCCAAUUAAGAAUGAUACAAUACAUAGUCNUAUUAAUGAUGCGCUAUAUUNGGGUAUAUGGGAGUACAAGUUANCUCAUUUAAGGUAAGUGKNGUGUAAUAGGCAAUAUCAAGAACUUUGCAUUGCNCMCUGUACGGUUAAAGCUGACCGUGUUUUGCACUGAAUUGCAAUUUUAAAACAAUUUUUACCGUGCCGUUUUUUACAUAUAGCGUAUUGUUUAUGGUUUUAUCUCAAGCUUAAAUUGUGUCAAAUUUCAAUGUGAUGACCCCUGGUCAAAACGUUYGCAGAGAAUAAAAUUGAUUAUUACAGUUGAUAAAAGAAACNCCAUUCUAUCAAUAAACAAUUAAAAAACGCAAAGUAAAGCAUUCAAUAUAAAAAAAAUUCUUGGUUGCCUUAAAAUAGGAUUUACCGAGUCAGAAUUCUAAUUUCGAAAUUAAAAAAUAAGCAUCAAAUCCUUCUGGUCUGCUUUGAAUGUUGCUUAUUUUUAUUCAAAACUAAGCCUGGGGAAGAAGUAAAACCAACCUAUAUUUCUUCCCCAAUAUGUAAUCUAAAGAUUAAAUGGACAAUAGAAAACUUUUACCGUAUGUAACUCAGUAUUUUUAAAAAAGUCUAACCCUACCCCCUCUGUUUCAGAGGUAAAUUCACUUUGAACAGAAAACAUAAAUGUUUAAAAUAUUUUUUUCUCACUUUUUUCAACAUUUUAUCAAUAAAAAGUAUUGAAAUAAGUAAAAACUUACUAGAAAAAAAAAAAAAAAAAAAAAAAA